AAGUCGAACGGUAACAGGAAGCAGCUUGCUGCUUCGCUGACGAGUGGCGGACGGGUGAGUAAUGUCUGGGAAACUGCCUGAUGGAGGGGGAUAACUACUGGAAACGGUAGCUAAUACCGCAUAACGUCGCAAGACCAAAGAGGGGGACCUUCGGGCCUCUUGCCAUCGGAUGUGCCCAGAUGGGAUUAGCUAGUAGGUGGGGUAACGGCUCACCUAGGCGACGAUCCCUAGCUGGUCUGAGAGGAUGACCAGCCACACUGGAACUGAGACACGGUCCAGACUCCUACGGGAGGCAGCAGUGGGGAAUAUUGCACAAUGGGCGCAAGCCUGAUGCAGCCAUGCCGCGUGUAUGAAGAAGGCCUUCGGGUUGUAAAGUACUUUCAGCGGGGAGGAAGGCGACAGGGUUAAUAACCCUGUCGAUUGACGUUACCCGCAGAAGAAGCACCGGCUAACUCCGUGCCAGCAGCCGCGGUAAUACGGAGGGUGCAAGCGUUAAUCGGAAUUACUGGGCGUAAAGCGCACGCAGGCGGUCUGUCAAGUCGGAUGUGAAAUCCCCGGGCUCAACCUGGGAACUGCAUUCGAAACUGGCAGGCUAGAGUCUUGUAGAGGGGGGUAGAAUUCCAGGUGUAGCGGUGAAAUGCGUAGAGAUCUGGAGGAAUACCGGUGGCGAAGGCGGCCCCCUGGACAAAGACUGACGCUCGGGGAGCAAACAGGAUUAGAUACCCUGGUAGUCCACGCCGUAAACGAUGUCGACUUGGAGGUUGUGCCCUUGAGGCGUGGCUUCCGGAGCUAACGCGUUAAGUCGACCGCCUGGGGAGUACGGCCGCAAGGUUAAAACUCAAAUGAAUUGACGGGGGCCCGCACAAGCGGUGGAGCAUGUGGUUUAAUUCGAUGCAACGCGAAGAACCCUUACCUACUCUUGACAUCCAGAGAACUUUGCAGGAGAUGCAUUGGUGCCUUCGGGACUCUGAGACAGGUGCUGCAUGGCUGUCGUCAGCUCGUGUUGUGAAAUGUUGGGUUAAGUCCCGCAACGAGCGCAACCUUAUCCUUUUGUUGGCAGCGGGUUUAAG
rnacentral:rRNA from 1 species